rnacentral:rRNA from 1 species
GCUCAGUAACACGUAGUCAACAUGCCCAGGGGACGAGGAUAACCUCGGGAAACUGAGGAUAAACCUCGAUAGGCCAUGAUUUCUGGAAUGAUUCUUGGCUCAAACCUAUAUGGCCCCUGGAUUGGACUGCGGCCGAUCAGGCUGUUGGUGAGGUAAUGGCCCACCAAACCUAUUACCGGUACGGGCUCUGAGAGGAGGAGCCCGGAGAUGGGCACUGAGACAAGGGCCCAGGCCCUAUGGGGCGCAGCAGGCGCGAAACCUCUGCAAUAGGCGAAAGCUUGACAGGGUUACUCUGAGUGAUUUCCGCUAAGGGAAUCUUUUGGCACCUCUAAAAAUGGUGCAGAAUAAGGGGUGGGCAAGUCUGGUGUCAGCCGCCGCGGUAAUACCAGCACCCCGAGUGGUCGGGACGAUUAUUGGGCCUAAAGCAUCCGUAGCCGGUCCUGCAAGUCUUCCGUUAAAUCCAGCUGCUCAACAGAUGGGCUGCAGGAGAUACUACAGGGCUAGGAGGCGGGAGAGGCAAGCGGUACUUUAUGGGUAGGGGUAAAAUCCGCUGAUCCAUAGAAGACCACCAGUGGCGAAGGCGGCUUGCCAGAACGCGCUCGACGGUGAGGGAUGAAAGCUGGGGGAGCAAACCGGAUUAGAUACCCGGGUAGUCCCAGCUGUAAACGAUGCAGACUCGGUGAUGGGUUGGCCUCGCGCCUGCCCAGUGCCGCAGGGAAGCCGUUAAGUCUGCCGCCUGGGGAGUACGGUCGCAAGACUGAAACUUAAAGGAAUUGGCGGGGGAGCACCA